rnacentral:rRNA from 1 species
CCUACGGGAUGCACCAGUGGGGAAUAUUGCACAAUGGGCGCAAGCCUGAUGCAGCCAUGCCGCGUGUAUGAAGAAGGCCUUAGGGUUGUAAAGUACUUUCAGUUGGGAGGAAGGCGUUGAUGCUAAUAUCAUCAACGAUUGACGUUACCAACAGAAGAAGCACCGGCUAACUCCGUGCCAGCAGCCGCGGUAAUACGGAGGGUGCAAGCGUUAAUCGGAAUUACUGGGCGUAAAGCGCACGCAGGCGGUCUGUCAAGUUGGAUGUGAAAUCCCCGGGCUCAACCUGGGAAUGGCAUCUAAGACUGGUCAGCUAGAGUCUUGUAGAGGGGGGUAGAAUUCCAUGUGUAGCGGUGAAAUGCGUAGAGAUGUGGAGGAAUACCGGUGGCGAAGGCGGCCCCCUGGACAAAGACUGACGCUCAGGUGCGAAAGCGUGGGGAGCAAACAGGAUUAGAUACCCUUGUAGUC